ACCCGGAGCUCCGCGGCCGCCCAGCGCCCGUCCCCGCGCCGCACUCCCCGGCACUCCCCGGCGCUCCCCGCGCCGCGCGCCCCGCACCGGCUGGAGGCCCCGGCCCCCCGGCGUUCCCUCUCCGCGCACCUCCCGGCCCGCGCUAGGUGAGUGUGGACGCCACUGGCGGGGGUGCCGCGGUGCGCGAGCGCUCGGCCAGCGGCAGAGACGCCGCGGGAGCCGCCCCCAGCGCCAACGCCGCCGCGGGCGGGAAGGGCGAGGCUCGGCGAGGCUGGGCGAGGAGCUGGGCGGCAGACGCUGAGCGGGGCGCGGCGCGGGGCGCCGGACGAGCGCGGGCGUAGGAGGAGCGCGGGCGUAGGAGUCGGCGACCCGCUCGCUCCCGCGGCCGGUGCCUCUGGGCUGGGGGCCGGGCUGGGGGCCGGGCCGGGCCGGGCCGGGCCGGGCGGCCAGGCGGCUCCGCCCCUUCGCCGGGCAGCGGCUGAGCGCGCGAGAGGAGCGGCGCGGGGGCGCCCCCCUCGGCCGGGCGCUCGGGUUUCAGCCGCCGCUCCUCCGCGCCCCGCCCGCGCCUGGCCCGCUCGCCGGCGCCGGGAGAGACCUCGUAACGGAACUGGGACGCCAGCGCUGCAUUGUGGGAGCUUUUAAAGCGGCGGGGAGCUCGGCGCGACCCUCGGGCCCACCGGGCCACGCUCGCCCGGCCCGCGACGCCCCCCCGCUGUCGCCUGGCCCGCGACGCACCGAGGCCUGAGGACCCGAAAGCCGGGCGCGGGGAGAUGACCGGUGGCUCGUGACGGUCCCACGGGCAAAAUCUUCCAUCGCCCGGGGCUGAGACUUGUCAAACUGCCCUCUACGGUCACCCGGAAAGUAGGAGGCUUUUUCUGCAGAGGGGAAAAAAAUCAAAAAGAGCCGUUCCAUCCCCCCUCCAAGGACUGGGUUUGAAUUGCUUUUCAUCUGCAGUGGCUGUGAUUCAGCGUCCCUCUUAGCAGCAGGCAAUGACAGAGGCAGGAGAGGGGAAAAAAAAAAAGAAAGAAAGAAAAAACACAGCAAAUGAAUCAAACGGACGUAGCAGGCAAGAGUGUGGUUAUCGUUGGACCAGGAUUCAGGAUCUGACUGAGUAGCUGACUCUUAAUCCAGUUUGUGUUGAUCACCAGGAGGAUCUGGACCUCAGUAUUACCACAUCUAGAGCUAUAAUCACAUCCCUGUUAAGCCUUCCUGAGAUCACACCAAAUGUCCUUGAUGGGAAUUGUAAACAACCCUUACUUCUGGUUUCUAAUGAUAUUCCAGGAAAGGAGCCUAACUAGAGUCAGUGAUAUGCCAACUCCACCUUUGCCUUCCACCAUGUUUGGAAGCUCCCUGAGGCCUCACCAGGAGCAGAUGCUCGUCCCAUGCUUCCUAUAAGCCUGCAGAACUGGAAAAGAAAGCUGGAUAAAGUAUUUAUAGAAGAUAGAGGACCUGUGGUGGCUCAUGCCUGUAAUCCAAGGUGGAAGGAUUGCUUGAGGCCAGAAGUUCAAGACCAGUCCAAGCAACAUAGCAAGGCCCCAUCUCUACAAAAAAUGAAAAUAAAAUUAGCCGAGCGUGAUGGCUCAUGCCUGUAGUUCUAGCUUCUAGAGAGGCUGAGGCAGGAGGAUUGCUUGAGUCCAGGAGUUCAAGAUUACAGUGAGCUAUGGUCACACCACUGCACUCCAGCCUGGGUGAUGGAGUGAGACUGUCUCAAUAAAAAGACAAAAAGGCUGGCCAGGGGCAGUGGUUCAUGCCUGUAAACCCAGCACUUUGGGAGGCAAAGGCAGGAGGAUUGCUUAAGCCCAGGAAUUUGAGAUCAGCCUGGACAACAUGGUCAAGGAAGCUUUUCCUGAUCCACUAACUAAGGACAAUCAAACCCUUCAUGAUCUAGAAUCUGGAGACUGUGUCUUCUGGGAAUAGUAUCAGAGAAAGACUGCCCUUACUGCCCACAUGUAGCAAAACUUUGAGACGUUGAAUUAUGGGUCCAUAAUCUCACAACUCAGAGGGGCACCUCUAGACUCUUGGAACUGUAUAUCUAUUGGAGACUUUAAGGUAAAGCUGAACAGAGAGACGUUUUUCUCCAGAAGCAGACAGCACCAUAGUCAUGGACAGCUUUCCCAAGAUCACAGAUCAAGACUUCUCUGCCGUCAUGAGACUCAUAACCUCUUAAUUUUUUCUUGCUUAUGCUUCUGUGAACAAUAGAAUUGGAAAAGGGGUGGUCCCGCGUGCACCCAUAGGGUAUACUUUUAUUUGUGGAGGAUUUUGCUGCCAACCUUAUACAUGGGCAAACUUAUGCCUUCAUGGAUGGAAGAUAAAGGGCUAAUAUGGGUUAGAAAUUUUAAUGGUACCUUUGUUUCUCCAUAAUCAUUCAGAAACAGAACACUGGUCCACUCUUGUUAACCUACAUCAUAGGUUGAAGAGAACAUUGCCAGGAGGCCUUCAUCCUUCCAGAUGGGCACCAUUUGUUGGGUCUUUUUCCGUGGUAUGAAGAAAAUGAAGCAAUGAUUAGAAAUUGGUCCCUCGGCCGGGCACAAUGGCUCAUGCCUGUAAUCCCAUCACUUUGGCAGGCCGAGGCGGGUGGAUCACCUGAGGUCAGGAGUUUGAGACCAGCCUGACCAAUGUGGUGAAACGCCAUCUCUACUAAAAAUACAAAAAUUAGCUGGGUGUGAUGGUGCACACCUGUAAUCCAGCUACUCGGGAGGCUGAGACAGGAGAAUUGCUUGAACCUGGGAGGCAGAGGUUGCAGUGAGCCAAGAUCACCCCACUGCAUUCCAGGUUGGGCAACAGAGCAAGACUCUGUCUCAAAAAAAAAAGAAGAAAGAAAGAAAUUGAUCCCUCAUAAUAGGCUGUAUAGCAGAUUCUACUGCAAAGGCUAUGGUUGCACAACAGACUUCUUUGAAUUUGCUUGCUAAACUUUUACUGGAUAAUACUGGGAUUACAGGUGUGAGCCACUGUGCCCAGCCUCUCCUGUUUAACUGUAUUCAUUCUAAUGUUUACUUACUUCUUUAAUUUGUAAAAUUGGGUCACUUAGAGUUUUUUUAGCCUAUCUUGCCAUUUAGCCACUGUUACUGAUAAUUUGGAUGGAAAAGAAAAAUAAAUUAUAUCACCUCUC
rnacentral:lncRNA from 1 species